UAAAUAGUAAAAAAUAUGUUAAUUUAACGUGUUAAAAUUUAAAAAUAAAUUUAAAGUAUGGCAUGCAUUCUUAACAUUUAUAUAAAUAUAUUUCAUAGCCUAAAUAUAAAUAAUUUAACAACUUAAAUUAGAAAAAAAGUAAAAAUUCCGGGCGUAGCCCGGGUUAAUCCCUAGUAAAUUAUAAAUGUACAAUUAGCUGCGUAAUCUGAUUUGUUCUAUUAAUAAACAGAAAAUUUCAGAAUAUCAUAUAAUACAGAGAAGCACCAUAUAAUCCUUUAUUUUCUAAUAUACCUAAAAAUUGAAUGUACAAAUCAAGGUUUGCAUGAUUGUUCGAAAUCUUAAUCUGAGAAAAUAAUAAAAUGAAACUCCAAUAUUUUUAUCUAUAAGGUCCUUUGUGAGCUCCACAAAAGAUAAUAUAAACGGGGUAUAUCAAUCUUCCUCCAAAUCAUUUGCUGAUGCGAAAACCUAACCCAACACUUAUAGAUAUAGUAGUGACAUAUAAAAUUAUUAUUGCCAUUUCAAAAGGAGGAACUGUCAGCGACAUUAUAAAAAUGUUGUAUAGUGGCAUUAUGAUGAGUUGAUGACGAUAAGAAGUAAGGUGAAAGUAAAACCAUGAACUAAAAAUGCCACGUGUUUCUGACUCAGUUUUGAAUGCGACAUACAAUUACCACAGUGCUUACUGUUUUUUUACCAAUAAUUUCUUAUUAAUUCUUAACAAACAUAAUUUAAUUUGCAAAUGAAAAUCUUAAUAUCAUUAUGGCAAUUAAAAUAUAUGCCGUUGGAGGACUUCUACACUGAUUAUGUAUACAUGUAGUCAUGGUCCACCUGAAAUUUUGGAGAUCAUUGACAAUCUAGUGAAAAAAAAUUAAUAAUUUAGAUAACAUAUAUUUUAUAAUAUUAAAAAAGUUAGACGUUCGAAGCUAAUGUUUAUUAUGAUGAUCAUAUUAAUAUUGUAUGAAUGAUGAUGAGCCAUGAUGAUAAAACUAUGUAUGAUUAAUGAUGUGGGGUUUAGUGGGAUCGUCCACGUCAGUCCCACCUGGCAACUUUUGUCUCUGUUUGAAUUACACGGCACGAACCUCCCCACCGGUAAGGUCCAUUUGUAUAGCUGGACCAUUUUUAUUGCCAAAAUAGAAAGGUCUUCUUAUUUAUGUGUAGUAGUUGUGUUCCAUGAAACUCAAAUAAGAACUUUUUUUUUGAGAAACUCAAAUAAGAACUUGCUACAUGUGAGGUCUAAGACUGGACGCACAUGUACACAUUCACUUUCACAUUUUUUGCUCUGAUUUUGUUUACACCCUCAUUAUUGAAGGUUAUAAUAUGUAGGUUGUAAUAUUUUCUUAUUUUUAACUUUUGGUAAGAUUUAAUCUUACCUAAUAUAUUUAUAUAUUUAAAGAUCAUUUGUACUUAUUUGUUUUCUUAAUUUAUUAUUUAUAUUUUAUUAAAUUUUUACAAACAAUUAUUUAUUAAAUGGAUCUAUUUGUUUUAUGUACAAACAGUCAAAUACCACCUAACGAAUAUCCCAAAUUUUAUAUGAAUACAUAAUCUUUUAGAUUUAAAAUCGUCCGAUCUUAGCAUCUCAUAUCUACAAAUAUGUAUAUAUUGAUUUUAUAGUGUUAAUGUGCUAUCUCCACAUGAUAACAUGCUAUAACUGAUUAAAUGGAAAUAAUACCAAUACAUGUAUUAUCUAGCUCCCAAGUCUAUAAGACUAUAACUAUAUACAUUGAAAGAACUAGAGCUAUGUAUUUAAUCGACGUAAACAACAUACUGUAUAUAUCUUUCAAGUUUGAUCAUGUUGAAGGACGAAAAUGUAUAAGGGAAACUCAAAUCCAAGCUGAUAUUCUUAGCAGAAAAAAAUAAAUCCAAUCUGAUAUGACCACUUCAGGAAAAUAUAAACAAUUUGUAUGUAUUUUAAUAAAAGGCAAGUUGAAGAUUAUAAGGAAAAUCUGACUUUUUCAAUAAUUACUUGGUCGCGCAGCCACACGUGCAACCAUGUUUCCACCUUGUUUCAUUGUCUGGUUUUAGAUGUACGUAUUAACUAAUCAAUUUAUUUAUUUUUGUUUUUGAUGGAGUAAUUGGUUAUAAAUUUCAACCUAUAUAUUAUCCAGUACUGUCUCUUACUAGUUGUCGAUAGAAAAGAAAAUCACACUGAUAAAAGUCGCUUGGGAUCAACACGUUACUGGAGUCGUUCUAUCUUCGCAGGGGAUCGAUAGUCGAGUCCUCUCUGUCACACGAGGGAAGCCAUUAUAAUCCAAGCAACGUUUAUUUGAAUUUUGACUAUUUCUCAAGCAAAAUUAAAACUAAUUUGACCAUUCUAUUAGUUUUUGUGACUUGUCAAACACUUUGAAACUUAACAUUAUUAUUCAAUGUUAGGCUGACUUUGAUCUUUAUGUGAUCAAAUAAGAUCAUCCCAUUAAGACUUUCCACUUUUAUUUACACUGGUUCAUUCUUUUACGUGUUGAAUAGCCGUGUCUGCAAUUACAUAAUAUAUUUUCAUAUUUUUUUUAUCAAACCAAAUUUGUAUUAAACUUAGAACUUAGUAAGAGUUUAAGCUCCAUCAUAAAAGAAUACAACAAAGCUACAAAGAACCAAGUGGAAUAUGAAACAGAUAAAACCUAAAAUAGAAUGGCAAUACAAAUCACAAGAAGUAAGGAGGGGUUAGUGGGAGUAGAAUUUUUAUAGAGUUGGUUGAUUCUAAAAGUCAAGAGAUUUGUUAAAUUUGUAAAGAGUUAUAAAGAGUAUUUCAUAUUUUAAAAGUUUAUGAAAAUGUUCUAAUUCAAGGAUUUUAAGAAUCUAGAGGAAAUAUGCAAGAUUUUUGAAGUUUUGUCUUAUGAGUAAAAUUAUCUAGAAUUCAAUUCCCAAUAACUCUAGAUUUGAUGGAAACUUAGAAUCAUUAAAAACCAAACUUUUUGAAUAACAAGAGAUUUUGUAAGUCAUUAAACAAUCAUCAAACCAAUAACACUAGAUUUUAGUAAGAAUCUUAGAAUCCAC